rnacentral:lncRNA from 1 species
CCUAACAAAGCAAAUUCAACAAAAGAAUUAAAGUAAAUAAAAAAUAAGGAAGAAGAAUAAAUAAAAUGAUAUCAUCUAAAACUUGCAUAUAGAUAAUAUGUAUACAAUUUUACUAGUUGUAUUUUCGUUUGAGUCCUUGGACACACGCCCAGGUUUUCUUACUCUUGUGGACACAAACAUCUCCUUAAGUGAUACAGGUUCCUUAGUUUUU